UCAGCAAGGGACCCACCACUCCUCUCUAAUCAGGAAUAGCAAGAGAAGAGAAGUUGCACAGCCAUGUAUUAAUGCUGUGCUCUCAUAAAAUCACAGAUUAUUUGUGGUAUAUGACACUGUCAACUCGCAUUUGUAGAAUUCUAUCAGAUUCUCACCAUGCAAACACUGCACUAGAGGGGAAAAAAACUUGGAAAAACCCCAGAUACUCGCACACUCUCUCGUUUUCUUUUCCUAGAAAAUCAAGCUCAAAACCUCCAAGAGUUAUCCAUGAUGGCUUUAACAAUCCCAACUCACUUCAAAUUCAAGCCUCCCAACCUCCAUCGCCAGAGCUCGCACACCCAUUUGAAAGUUAGUUCAAAAGCUUCUUACUUUUCAAACAAUCGUCAUGGAUUUGACCCAAAAUUAAGCUCCAUCCGAAGAGUCUUCUCCUCAAGAGUCUACAGUGAUGGUGGGGCUUCAGCUGGUGCCACCCCACAACAGUCAACGCCUUCUGACGUUGAGGCAUUAAGAGGCAGCUCAUCUAGUUCUGCUGAUGGUUACGUGGCCUUGUUUGUCCGUAUGCUUGGGUUAGAUAAUGAUGCCCUUGACAGAGAGCAGGCGAUAGUUGCACUAUGGAAAUAUUCACUAGGAGGAAAACAAUAUGUUGAUGCCAUCAUGCAAUUUCGUGGCUCCAUAAAUCUCACAGUAAACCUUCUAAAAUCAGACUCUAGUUCUACAUGUGAAGCAGCUGCAGGGCUAUUAAGAAUGAUGUCCUCAGUGAAUGUAUACAGAGAAUCAGUUGCAGAAAGUGGGGCAAUAGAAGAGAUAACUGCCCUGUUGAGCCGAUCUUCUUUGACGUCUGAUGUAAAGGAGCAAAGUAUAUGUACAUUGUGGAACUUGUCUGUAGAUGAGAAAUUUCAUGAGAAAAUUGUAAACUCUGAUCUCCUGCCUUUACUAAUCAAGUUCUUGGAGGAUGAGGACAUAAAAGUGAAAGAAGCUGCUGGAGGGGUUUUGGCUAAUUUGGCAUUGCGCCAUUCUAAUCACAAGGUCAUGGUUGAAGCAGGUGUUGUUCCAAAAUUGGCGAAGCUCUUGAAAACAGAUGUAGAGGGAUCAAAGAUCGUGAGAAAAGAAGCAAGAAGUGCUUUAUUGGAACUUGCUAAAGAUGAGUACUAUAGAAUUCUUGUUAUGGAGGAAGAUCUACUUCUUGUGCCUCUGGUUGGUGCUGCUGCCUACAAGUCCUUCAAACCAGCUUUGCAUUCAUGGCCUUCUUUACCUGAUGGUACGGAGAUUGAACAGAGCUCAAAAGGACCCUCAAGGUAUGGUGCUUCUGAAUUACUUCUUGGAUUAAAUAUUCAGGACAAGGAUGCCAACCUAGAGGAAGCAAAGAGGAAUGCAAUAGUUGGACGGACACAACAAGAGUUUCUUGCUCGCAUUGGGGCUAUAGAAAUGGAAGAUGAGCAAAAAUCUCAGAGUGAAUCCUCUUCAGGUUGCCGUUUUACCCUUUUGCCAUGGGUGGAUGGUGUUGCUCGUCUGGUUUUGAUUCUUGGACUAGAAGACGAGUCAGCUAUUGCCAGAGCGGCAGAGUCAAUUGCUGAUGCAUCUAUCAACGAACAUAUGCGGGUUGCUUUUAAGGAAGCUGGAGCUGUCAAGCAUCUAGUUCGGCUAUUAGACCAUCAUGGUGAUGCUGUUCGAUUGGCAGUUAUUCAUGCUUUGGAGAGGCUGUCUAUCAGCAAAGAUGUUUGCCAGAUAAUUGAAGCAGAAGGCGCUUUGCACUAUUUGAUAGAUUCACUGAAGUACUCAGAAGUCUCUGAAAGCUUGAUGGAAAAGACUUUGUAUAUUUUUGCUCGGAUUUUAGACCCCAGUAAAGAAAUGAAAUCGAAGUUUUAUGAUGAACCAGUUAAUGGAUCAAAGAAGAAACAAGACACAACAAUAACAACAGGAUCAGCUGGAAACAUGAAUGAGACACCAGUAUCAAAACCAACUUCCAGCUUGCAAACUGCCCAUGCAAGAGAUCUGUUGGAUUCUGCUGCCCUUGCUCGCCUUGUUCAGAUCCUGAAGUUGUCAUCCCCAAAUUUGCAAAUAAAAGCAGCUUCCAUCCUUGAGUUUGUGACAAUGGCUGAGCCAUGCAUCGACCAAAUCAUCUCAGUGGACAUCGAAUCUAGUUUGGGUGCUGUUUUCCAACAAAAAAUUGUGAAUGGUACGGACAUGGAAGCCGAUAUAGACUGUCAGCAGCCAGAACUACGUGCCCUAGAAAUUGAAGAAGCUGGUCUUGCAAUAUCCGCGGCAUCCCGAUUACUAACAAGACUGCUCGACUUUGACAAGUUCCGAAGCACCAUAAAGCCAACUCCUUUCAUAACAUCGCUACGUAAAAUUCUCACAUCAAGUAUCCCCCUUCACCACAAGGAUUGGGUCGCUGCUUGCCUGGUUAAACUCAGCUCUUUGUCCGGCCCCAACAUAGACUUUGAGAGUCCAAUCAGUAUGGAGGUUACUCUUUACGAGACGAUCCCGAGAUUGAUGGAGCAGAUUGAAAACCCGUCUCCGGAAGUGCAAGAAGCAGCGGUUGUAGAACUGAACAGAAUAAUCUCCGAAGGGGUUGUAGAUUCGACUAGAGCGGUUGCUGCUGAGGGGGGAAUAUUCCCGUUGGUGAAGUUGAUUGAAGAAGGGACGGGGAGGGCAGUUGAAGCAGGAUUAGCAAUUUUAUAUAAUCUGAGUAUGGAUGCUGAGAACCAUUCGGCUAUUGUAGCUGCAGGGGCAGUUCCGGCAUUGAGGAGAAUCAUUCUAUCACAAAGACCACAGUGGAUGCGAGCGCUUCAUUUGCUGAGGACUUUACCUACAUGAUGAUGGGGAAAAGCUAAAUUUUCUAUACUUCGUGCUGAGGAAUUGCAAAAGCAAUUUAGAGAGAGAGAGAGAGAAGAAGUUGGGAUUUGAUUGUGGCAGUGCUGGUCCGGCUGGAUUCAACUGAAACUAGGAUUAUCUCAUUUGAUGGCAUGAAUUUUUGGAAGGUGGAAAUGUCAAAUGAGAUGCUCCAUUUGGUUCAGCUUAUAGGAUCCGAUGUUCAUAAUAGUUUCUUUUUUGGAUAAAUUACACUUUGUCCCUUUAGACCGUGUUUGGAUAAUAGAUUUGGCUGGAGAAUUGGGGAAAAAGAAAAAGGUGAGCAAAUGUGACUGAAAUAUGUAUUCAUUUCUAUUUGCUUUUUAAAUUCC